UAAGAUGAGAGUUUGAUCCUGGCUCAGGACGAACGCUGGCGGCAUGCCUAAUACAUGCAAGUCGAACGAGCUUCCGUUGAAUGACGUGCUUGCACUGAUUUCAACAAUGAAGCGAGUGGCGAACUGGUGAGUAACACGUGGGAAAUCUGCCCAGAAGCAGGGGAUAACACUUGGAAACAGGUGC
rnacentral:rRNA from 1 species